rnacentral:rRNA from 1 species
GACGAACGCUGGCGGCGUGCUUAACACAUGCCAGUCGAACGGAAAGGCCCCUUUGGGGGUACUCGAGUGGCGCACGGGUGAGUAACACGUGAGUAACCUGCCCUUGACUUCGGGAUAACUUCAGGAAACUGGGGCUAAUACCGGAUAGGAAUCCUUGCUGCAUGGUGGGGGUUGGAAAGCUUCGGCGGUUUUGGAUGGACUCGCGGCUUAUCAGCUUGUUGGUGGGGUAGUGGCUUACCAAGGCUUUGACGGGUAGCCGGCCUGAGAGGGCGACCGGCCACAUUGGGACUGAGAUACGGCCCAGACUCCUACGGGAAGCAGCAGUGGGGAAUAUUGCACAAUGGGCGGAAGCCUGAUGCAGCAACGCCGCGUGCGGGAUGACGGCCUUCGGGUUGUAAACCGCUUUCAGCAGGGGCGAAGCUUGUGGUGACGGUACCUGCAGAAGAAGCACCGGCUAACUACGUG